ACCAUGGACACGGAAGCUCUCAAAAAAAAAAAAAACCCCACGGACACGGACGGAGAACGGCGGCGGCGUUCUCAUGGUUCGCCCGCCGCCCUCAGCCUCGCCCCGGCAUGGGAUCGAGGGCCGGUGCCUACUGCCGCUGACGGGGACGAGACUCGCGAAAAAGAAGGAUCCGUCGACCAAGGAUUGGUGGAUACUGGCCAACUAAAGUUUUCACAAAAAAGGGAGAUAAAGUAAAUGUAUGGCCAUCGGAUAUUGACCAAAUUGUAUUUGAUGGACAAGCCGGGGGUCCAACUGUUACACCACAAAUGGGAAGCGGACAUUUUGCAGAAAAGCUCACUAUGCCAGGGAUAUAGGGACAUAGCAGUUAUGAACAACAAUGGUGUACUUAUCCCGUUUGACUAGGACAAGACUUUGCUUAUUCUACUAAACUCCCGUGCUACACUGUCGAUGGAUAUGCGCACAACCACACAGGAGCACAUGUCUACCCGGGUGGUUGUUGACAGAAUAAUGGCUUUUAUGUAUUGAUGCUUGGGCUGAAUAAUAAGAAAUCUUUAUGGGCAGCUGUAAUGUGUUAAAAACUUGAUCAUAAGGCCUAUGUGACAAACCUUAAGGGUGACCUUUUACACA